rnacentral:lncRNA from 1 species
GAGUGUGAGUGUGUCUCUGUGUGUGUAGGGGUCGAGGUGGGGGGGGUCCGUGUUUGCGAUCUGAACCUUUGGUACCUACAAGGAGGGUGUCUCACCGAACGGUAGCUAAAACCUCACCAGAACCGCGCGGAAGUGAGAAGUCGCGGCCAAAGGCGCCCGCAGAAGCCUCCUCUCUGGGCCGGACCCCAGCCCGAGCGGCCGAAAGGAGCCCCCCGCCCGGAUCACAGAAGUUUACAAGGAAAGGGGAAAUGUCUGAAAUGGAGAUUGCACAAUCCUGUCUUGAAGCAGAAGACUCAGCUAGAGCACAUCUGGAAACACCUGGCACUCCUCAAUAGAAUUCAAAUGCUAUUUUAAAAGAGUCCAUUUCUAAGAAGAUGUGGUUCGAACAUACAGAGCUACAUAAUAUGAGUAAAAUAGGACCUAACAGUAGUGUUCUCCAGCAUUGCUCUGCCUUUCCUUUUCUGGAUGUAACAACAUUACUAAGAAAGGAAGAAAAAGCAAAAAUCUGCUCUCGGGGAGAUUCCAGAAUGUUGGAAAGCCCCAAAUGGAAGUCUCUGCUUUGGUUACAGGACAUAAGGUUUAAUAAAUAAAAAGAUGCUCAUCUGGGAUGCUGCACCAAUUAUCAUGUACUAAAUAAGGUUACCUACUUCACUCUCCAGGUAGAAAUGUCUAUCAUAAGCAUGUGCCACAGAAGGUCUCUCAAGUAUCAUUAUUGGCUGUGUUGAAUUUUGUUUUUAGUUCUCUUUUAUAAGGUCUGUAGUCUUACUUUCAGUGAGGAAGUGUUUUCUCAGGUUCUCAAGAAAGUAACAAAAUGCCAGCAUUGUCAAGGUCACCAUUGCCACUGAAUUAUCUUACUGUCUGAUUAUUCCAUCUUCCUCUGCAUCAUAUUAGCCUGAUGACUACAUUCUAAUUAUUUAAAGCGUUAUGUAAAUCAAAGCAGUAAAUGUAAUUUCUAGUCUUACUAGAUAUCAUGUACAUUAGGUCGAAUAACUCUAGAAAUGUCGUCAUAAUCAUGUCAUGCCUAAUGAUGACCUACUCAGCCCCUGCCAACAUCAUUCAAUUACUCAUUUCAGUAUUGAUUUUUCUCAUGCCUCUCUUCGUGGCAUUUAAACAGCCCUCACAUCUCCCCUUUUACUGAGGUGUAAUGUUGUAUAAUGACAGAGAUGCUUUGCUUCCCAGAUUCAUAAUGUUACACUCUGUUUCAAAUCCUUUUGGAGACAAAUUGGGGAAUCAAUAUAUAAAUAAUGACACACUUAUUUUUAAUUAAAAUCACUGCUUUCACAGAAAUGGUAUAUUAAAAUUAUUUUUGCUAAAAAAAUUUUAAAUACCUAUGUACGAUAAAAAGACUGCCAAUCCUUGGGAUCAAGAAUAUAAUUUGCCCCAAAUAACUUUUCUGUAAAAGUAGAAUUCUUAAUGGAAAAUAGAUUAAUACAUAUAAUUUCAAGAUCUAACCUUAAAAAUGGAAAUAAUGUGUCCAUUUUUAAAAAUAAAUCAUAUUUACAUACACUGUGUUUAUGAGAGUUGUUUUGGAAUGAAACUUCUUUGCAUUUGAGAUCAAAUUCUUUUAUUCACAAGAAUUACAUUAUCUUUUUCAGCUGAAUGUUAUGUUAUACUCUUCCAAAAUCUAUUUUCCCUGCACUCAAGUAGCGGUAAAUAUUCUUUUUUUUUUCUGGAAAUUGAUAGUCUAAUUUUCUCCUGCCUCUCUUUGGCACACCCUCAUUUUGCAUGAGAUAUGCUCCUUAAUAAAAUUUCUACUCAAUAUUACAGAAACUUCCAGAAAUGGCAUCUAAAAUAUUACACUGGCCCGUUUAACUUCAC